rnacentral:ncRNA from 2 species
UUGAGCUCAGUGCAGUGAAAGUUGCACGCUGGGUUCUUAGGGAGACGGCACUUGGUAACAAGUGUCGUCCACCCGAAA